rnacentral:tRNA from 1 species
CAGAAAAUAGUUUAUUAAAAAUAUUAGCUUUGGGAGUUAAUGAUGGUAUCUUAUCUUUUCUGA